rnacentral:rRNA from 1 species
GUGGGGAAUAUUGGACAAUGGGCGAAAGCCUGAUCCAGCAAUGCCGCGUGAGUGAUGAAGGCCUUAGGGUUGUAAAGCUCUUUCGGCCGGGAAGAAAUCGGCGACUCUAACAUAGUCGCUGGAUGACGGUACCGGACUAAGAAGCACCGGCUAACUACGUGCCAGCAGCCGCGGUAAUACGUAGGGUGCGAGCGUUAAUCGGAAUUACUGGGCGUAAAGCGUGCGCAGGCGGUUUUGUAAGACAGAUGUGAAAUCCCCGGGCUUAACCUGGGAACUGCGUUUGUGACUGCAAGGCUAGAGUACGGCAGAGGGGGGUGGAAUUCCUGGUGUAGCAGUGAAAUGCGUAGAUAUCAGGAGGAACACCGAUGGCGAAGGCAGCCCCCUGGGCCUGUACUGACGCUCAUGCACGAAAGCGUGGGGAGCAAACAGGAUUAGAAACCCCGGUAGUCC